rnacentral:tRNA from 1 species
GGAGUUGUGGCUCAGCCACAGAGUGCUCACCUAGCACGUGUGAGGCUCUGGGUUCAAUCCUCAGCACUUUUA